AAUGCUCAAACUAAAAACUUUGGGGAUUACAAAGAUCAGAAAUACUGAAACUGUUAUCAAAUAUUUUUAUCUAAAAAAAUUGUAUUAGUGUAUGCUUGUAGUACACAUUGAUCUUUUUCCUCAUGGUGAGUUACUGCAGGGAAUGAUAAAUGCAGAAUUUGGGACAGGGUUAUCUCUCGGCAAGGCAGACAGAGGAGACAGAAGACAAGUAGAAUAGAAUGCAAAAGCAGUGCCUGAAUGCUCUAAUGCCAGGGUCCUGGGUUCCAUCCUUACCACCACCUGGACAGAAAGAUUACACAAGAUUUGACCGACUGGCCCCACGUGAAGGAAUAUAGCUCAAGGAAUUAAUUGAAUAAGUGUUUAUGGAAGCAAAGGA